rnacentral:rRNA from 1 species
UCCUACGGGGGGCAGCAGUGAGGAAUAUUGGUCAAUGGUCGGGAGACUGAACCAGCCAAGCCGCGUGAGGGAUGAAGGUACAGAGUAUCGUAAACCUCUUUUGUCAGGGAACAAAGGCGGGGACGUGUCCCCGGAUGAGUGUACCAGAAGAAAAAGCAUCGGCUAACUCCGUGCCAGCAGCCGCGGUAAUACGGAGGAUGCGAGCGUUAUCCGGAUUUAUUGGGUUUAAAGGGUGCGCAGGCGGUCUGUUAAGUCAGCGGUCAAAGCCCGGGGCUCAACCCCGGCCCGCCGUUUAAACUGGCAGG